GGAUGGGAAGGCAGUUUGGAUGUGACACCUGUCACCCUGUUCAUUGCCAGGGUUGAUUUCAGCUGGUCGGGCUGGCGAGGUGGUAGCCCUUUCCUCCCUCACCGCUCCAUGUGCAUCCCUCCUGAUCGAAGAGGAUGACCUUCCCCAAUAGAGGAGGACCAUUCUUUGGUCAAGGGUAUAUGAGUAGCUGCACUCCUCUGCUAGAACCUGAAAACAAGCUCUCAAAUGUAGACCUUCAGUGUAAGGAAAAUAGGUUUUAUUUUUCCUUGCCAUAUCUGCAGUCCCUAUCAAUAAGGCAUUCC
ensembl:misc_RNA 7SK 7SK RNA